rnacentral:lncRNA from 1 species
UUCAGUUAUCUUAUAAGUUCCGGACUUAGAUACAGGGAAAUAACUCUGCAAAGUUAAACUCGUAUAAUAACCACUGAACCUCAGUUAAGGCCCUAACCGGACAAGGAUUAGGGAAAAAGGCUUACUCGAUGGCUCGCGUUUAGCGAUCCUAGAGACGACAGUCAUAGACUCUGAGACAAUAAGGCAGUGGCUUUCCCAGUAAGCUUUAAGGCAGUCUUGGGAAAGGAACAGGAGGGGCCAGGGGGACCUUCUGUUCAAAGCGGUACUCGAUAGGGUGGUUCCGUACGAAAGGGAAAUUGGGAUCUCUGACAUCUUGAAUUUUCACCUUUAGGGGGGUAAUUUCAAUGACAGUAAGAGUCCCCUUUCGGGGGAAAUUCAAGAGAGGCUUAUCGCCCUCGUAUGCGUUUCUGUUGUUGUUUCUGUAUGUGUUAAGUCGGCUCGUAGAGGCGGCUUAGCAGCUAAAGUCUUACAAGCAAUACAAGGCUCAAUAAGGCUCGUAUUUCGGGUCCUAUUGGAAAGUGUAUUGUUGUAGACAGGGUUACUAGUAUAAAUGCUAUCAAGCCCGGAGGCAGCCCCUUUGGGAGCUGAUCCGGAGAUAGAGCAGCUCCUAGUAAGAGAAAGUAGAGCAACAACUGCUAAAGAAGCUCAGUAGCAGCAAGAGCGGGCUUCCCUUACUCUAUUUCCGAAGCGGAAAUAGUCGGGAAGUAGAUAGAGCGGACCGUUGCCCCCUCCGAGCUUUGCUCGUCUCCCCUCGGGGGAGGUUGGGCUCAAAAGUGGUCUUCCCUUAUUCUAUUUCCUCGGAGGAAAUAGUCGGGUCGCAAAACGCAAGUACCGUGCAAACAAGAGUUGGCUUCCGCGCGCGCGCGUAAGAGCUGAACGCUUUCCCCUCCGAGCUGCGCUCUUCCUCCCUCGGGGAGGUUAGCUCAUUAGCUCAGUAGCUCCUUAGCUCGUAGCUCAUUAGCUCAGUAGCUCAGUAGCUCAGGUUUUAAAGUUGGAAGUAGCUACUAGCCUGUCUCAGGGCUCCGAGCGCUGCUGCAGCCCAAACAUACCGCAGCGCUCUCCGGUCCCUUCGCGAAGCAAUUCGCUCUGUUAGGCAUAUGUAGACUUAUGUGGGCUGGCUUGUAUUCUUAUAUGAAACCUUUCCUGUGAGAUCGGUCGUUACUCCAACCCUGGAGUAACUUCCCUUCCAGAGUGUUAACUCACAUAUGCUUUUUCCGGACCCUAUGUAGUUAGGAGUUUUGUAUUUGUUGAAGCUAGUAGUCUCUAGCGGCCGUACCUGUUCAGUUAUCUUAUAAGUUCCGGACUUAGAUACAGGGAAAUAACUCUGCAAAGUUAAACUCGUAUAAUAACCACUGAACCUCAGUUAAGGCCCUAACCGGACAAGGAUUAGGGAAAAAGGCUUACUCGAUGGCUCGCGUUUAGCGAUCCUAGAGACGACAGUCAUAGACUCUGAGACAAUAAGGCAGUGGCUUUCCCAGUAAGCUUUAAGGCAGUCUUGGGAAAGGAACAGGAGGGGCCAGGGGGACCUUCUGUUCAAAGCGGUACUCGAUAGGGUGGUUCCGUACGAAAGGGAAAUUGGGAUCUCUGACAUCUUGAAUUUUCACCUUUAGGGGGGUAAUUUCAAUGACAGUAAGAGUCCCCUUUCGGGGGAAAUCCAGGAGAGGCUUAUCGCCCUCGUAUGCGUUUCUGUUGUUGUUUCUGUAUGUGUUAAGUCGGCUCGUAGAGGCGGCUUAGCUGCUAAAGUCUUACAAGCAAUACAAGGCUCAAUAAGGCUCGUAUUUCGGGUCCUAUUGGAAAGUGUAUUGUUGUAGACAGGGUUACUAGUAUAAAUGCUAUCAAGCCCGGAGGCAGCCCCUUUGGGAGCUGAUCCGGAGAUAGAGCAGCUCCUAGUAAGAGAAAGUAGAGCAACAACUGCUAAAGAAGCUCAGUAGCAGCAAGAGCGGGCUUCCCUUACUCUAUUUCCGAAGCGGAAAUAGUCGGGAAGUAGAUAGAGCGGACCGUUGCCCCCUCCGAGCUUUGCUCGUCUCCCCUCGGGGGAGGUUGGGCUCAAAAGUGGUCUUCCCUUAUUCUAUUUCCUCGGAGGAAAUAGUCGGGUCGCAAAACGCAAGUACCGUGCAAACAAGAGUUGGCUUCCGCGCGCGCGCGUAAGAGCUGAACGCUUUCCCCUCCGAGCUGCGCUCUUCCUCCCUCGGGGAGGUUAGCUCAUUAGCUCAGUAGCUCCUUAGCUCGUAGCUCAUUAGCUCAGUAGCUCAGUAGCUCAGGUUUUAAAGUUGGAAGUAGCUACUAGCCUGUCUCAGGGCUCCGAGCGCUGCUGCAGCCCAAACAUACCGCAGCGCUCUCCGGUCCCUUCGCGAAGCAAUUCGCUCUGUUAGGCAUAUGUAGACUUAUGUGGGCUGGCUUGUAUUCUUAUAUGAAACCUUUCCUGUGAGAUCGGUCGUUACUCCAACCCUGGAGUAACUUCCCUUCCAGAGUGUUAACUCACAUAUGCUUUUUCCGGACCCUAUGUAGUUAGGAGUUUUGUAUUUGUUGAAGCUAGUAGUCUCUAGCGGCCGUACCUGUUCAGUUAUCUUAUAAGUUCCGGACUUAGAUACAGGGAAAUAACUCUGCAAAGUUAAACUCGUAUAAUAACCACUGAACCUCAGUUAAGGCCCUAACCGGACAAGGAUUAGGGAAAAAGGCUUACUCGAUGGCUCGCGUUUAGCGAUCCUAGAGACGACAGUCAUAGACUCUGAGACAAUAAGGCAGUGGCUUUCCCAGUAAGCUUUAAGGCAGUCUUGGGAAAGGAACAGGAGGGGCCAGGGGGACCUUCUGUUCAAAGCGGUACUCGAUAGGGUGGUUCCGUACGAAAGGGAAAUUGGGAUCUCUGACAUCUUGAAUUUUCACCUUUAGGGGGGUAAUUUCAAUGACAGUAAGAGUCCCCUUUCGGGGGAAAUCCAGGAGAGGCUUAUCGCCCUCGUAUGCGUUUCUGUUGUUGUUUCUGUAUGUGUUAAGUCGGCUCGUAGAGGCGGCUUAGCUGCU